rnacentral:rRNA from 1 species
UACGGAGGGUGCAAGCGUUGUUCGGAUUUACUGGGCGUAAAGCGCACGCAGGCGGUCUGUGAAGUUUGGAGUGACAGUUGGUGGCUCAACCACCAAAGUGCUUUGAAAACUGAUAGACUUGAGGGCUUCAGAGGGACACGGAAUUCCGGGUGGAGUGGUGAAAUGCGUAGAGAUCCGGAGGAACACCAAAGGCGAAGGCAGUGUCCUGGGGAGUACCUGACGCUCAGGUGCGAAAGCCAGGGGAGCGAACGGG